rnacentral:rRNA from 1 species
GACANACUUNUUNAUUNAGAGGAUGGNUGGNGAUUCAUGAUAACUCCUCGAAUCGCAUGGCCUUGUGCCGGCGAUGGUUCAUUCAAAUUUCUUCCCUAUCAACUUUCGAUGUUUGGGUAUUGGCCAAACAUGGUUGCAACGGGUAACGGAGGGUUAGGGCUCGACCCCGGAGAAGGAGCCUGAGAAACGGCUACUACAUCCAAGGAAGGCAGCAGGCGCGCAAAUUACCCAAUCCCGACACGGGGAGGUAGUGACAAUAAAUACUGAUACAGGGCUCUUUUGGGUCUUGUAAUUGGAAUGAGUACAAUUUAAAUCCCUUAACGAGGAACAAUUGGAGGGCAAGUCUGGUGCCAGCAGCCGCGGUAAUUCCAGCUCCAAUAGCGUAUAUUAAAGUUGUUGUGGUUAAAAAGCUCGUAGUUGAACCUUGGGCCUGGCCGUCCGGUCCGCCUCACCGCGUGUACUGGCUCGGCCGGGCCUUUCCCUCUGUGGAACCCCAUGCCCUUCACUGGGCGUGGCGGGGAAACAGGACUUUUACUGUGAAAAAAUUAGAGUGCUCCAGGCAGGCCUAUGCUCGAAUACAUUAGCAUGGAAUAAUAGAAUAGGACGUGUGGUUCUAUUUUGUUGGUUUCUAGGACCGCCGUAAUGAUUAAUAGGGACAGUCGGGGGCAUCAGUAUUCAAUUGUCAGAGGUGAAAUUCUUGGAUUUAUUGAAGACUAACUACUGCGAAAGCAUUUGCCAAGGAUGUUUUCAUUAAUCANGAACG